rnacentral:rRNA from 1 species
UGGGGAAUUUUGGACAAUGGGCGCAAGCCUGAUCCAGCCAUGCCGCGUGCGGGAAGAAGGCCUUCGGGUUGUAAACCGCUUUUGUCAGGGAAGAAAUCUUCUGAGUUAAUACCUCGGGAGGAUGACGGUACCUGAAGAAUAAGCACCGGCUAACUACGUGCCAGCAGCCGCGGUAAUACGUAGGGUGCAAGCGUUAAUCGGAAUUACUGGGCGUAAAGCGUGCGCAGGCGGUUUUGUAAGACAGAGGUGAAAUCCCCGGGCUCAACCUGGGAACUGCCUUUGUGACUGCAAGGCUUGAGUGCGGCAGAGGGGGGAUGGAAUUCCGCGUGUAGCAGUGAAAUGCGUAGAUAUGCGGAGGAACACCGAUGGCGAAGGCAAUCCCCUGGGCCUGCACUGACGCUCAUGCACGAAAGCGUGGGGAGCAAACAGGAUUAGAUCCCUGGUAGUCCACGCCCUAAACGAUGUCAACUGGUUGUUGGGAAGGUUCCUUCUCAGUAACGUAGCUAACGCGUGAAGUUGACCGCCUGGGGAGUACGGCCGCAAGGUU